AUGUGCCGGAACCUGACCUCUAUCUCCUCUAACUUUUGGUGGGGUUCAGCUCAUGGAGAGAACAAGGUGCACUGGGUGGCCUGCGAUAAAAUGUGCCUGUCUAAGAGAGAGGGAGGCAUGGGAUUCAGAAACUAUGAAGCUUUCAACUAGGUCCUCCUCGGCAAGCAAGCUUGGAGGAUUUUGCAAGUCCCGGACUCUCUUGUGCAAGUUUUGCGGGCUCGAUACUUCAAAGACUCGUCGAUUAUGAGUGCAACAUGUCCUGCCAAUGGAUCCUUUACUUUCAGAAGCAUCCUUCACGGGCGGGAU
rnacentral:rRNA from 1 species